AUGUAUGCGAUGAUAAAGAAGAGUACAUAUUGAGGCAAUUUCAGAGAGCUUGUGGCUGGUGUGAACAAGUAAUUGUACAGUAUGGAAUGGGCUUUUGAGCUCCAAACCGAACCGAAAGUAGUAGGCUUUGGCGUUAUAUCCAAACGUUACUAUGGAUUAGAGAGAUUUCACAGUAGUGAAAUAAUUAGGGUGGUACCGCGGUCCAUUCGUCCCUAUA
rfam:Bacillus anthracis str. 'Ames Ancestor', complete genome.